ensembl:snRNA U4 U4 spliceosomal RNA
AGCUUUGUGCAGUGGCAGUAUCAUAGCCAAUGAGGUUUAUCUGAGACACAAUUAUUGCUAACUGAAAACUUUUCCAAUACCCUGCCGUGACGACUUGAAAUAAAGAAAUCUGAAAACGACAAUUAAUAAAAAGUCAUGACUGGA